CCAAGGUGCUGGGAGGUCCUGACGCACAGGGGGCGGCGGGGUGGGGGUGUGUGUGUGUGGGGGGGGAUCCGUCCCUUAGAGGCUCCCUGCUUCCCCCUGCUGCCCCCAAAGAGAAAAAGAAAAUCGGUUCAUCGGCUGAGAUGAUGACUCAGCCCUAGAGGCGGUGCAGUGCGGGUAAAGGAGCCGGCUGCCUGGCAACCCACUUUGGAUCUUAAACCCCUGGCCAGGCACCCAACGUUCUGCCCUCAGCAGCCAGGUGUCCAGGUCCUUGAAUCCGCCCCCCACACAUCUGAGUCUGUCUCCCAAGUCCGGUUAGCUUGAAAUCUCUUUCUGAAAGUGUGCUUUUCUCAUCUGUUAAGUGGGGAUCGUGAACGCUGAUUGAUCCACUUUCCUCAGAAAGUGGAUGGGAACGAGAGGACCCGUCAGUCGCAAAGAUGCAAAACCAACCAGCCAAGAGGAAGGGUCCCCUUAAUUCUGUGGGAGGAAGCAGAGCAAGACAGCUGAGGAUGUUGGGAGGUGGGGCCUCGGCAGCCUGGAUCUCUUUGGAUGUAAAAUAUGAUAAGUAACACCUUCUCUUUGGGAUUGUUGGAAGACCAAAAGGACAAUGUGGGGAUUUGCCGACCCGGCCCACGGUGGGUGCCCAAGGAUGGCAGGCAAGUUUUGAAGCCCGGUUCUUGGGGGAGUCUAACUAGUUUUAUGGAUCCAGUCUAGCUGGGCAUGACACUUGCUGUCCAGCACACAAACCCUGAUAUUCUUUCUAGCCCCGGGAUCCCGAACGCAGUCGGGGCGGGAGGUUGGGGGGGGGGGGGGGAGGGGAGGGGCAGAUACUCUGCUGGCCCUUGCCACUGCCUUGAUCACGUGUAACUAUCCAGGGUUUUCAGGCUGGCUUGGGGUAACACCGCCCGGCCCCGUCAAAGAAACGCAGCGUGAACAGUCCCACACCUCUUGGCUCCUGUCUCUCAAGGAACAUGCAAGUGAAUCUAAUUAAUGACCUUCAGUAUCUUCUGUGCUUUUUUAUUAUCCCAUCCGCAGUUCCUGGAGCCUUCCGGUCACUUACAAUUCAAACAAAAGAAACACCAAAAAGCUCGCUCGUGUGUCAUGGGCUCCUUUUCUCUGUCUCGGCACCAGAAGGUUCUAGAAACCGUUUGCAGACUCUCCUCAGGGACUCAGAAGUCAUCAAGUGCCGUCGCCGAGCACUUCUCAAACGGUCCCGUACGCACACGCACGCACACAAACACACACGCCAGGAGAGUCUUGUUAAGAAACCCGUGGUCCUGCGUUUCCAGCAUGCUCACGGGACCCUAAUGCUGCUGAUCUGGAGACCUCGCUUUGAGCAGCGAGACUGCGGGUGGCGUCUGAACCUGACGGUCCGUGGGCUAUUAUUCCGUAUAGGAUGCCGGGACGGCUGGGUAGCCAUCCAGAAAAAGUAACGUCAGACUUAUACUCCCAAUUCCUAUACUAGGACGGAUACGAAGAAGUGUGCUCUGUGCUCGAGGUGGAAAUGCAAAAUGAUGAACCAUUUAAAGGACGACGGGCAAAGGAUAGAGACACUCAGUAACUUGACCAAACUCACAAGAAGCCGGUGCGUGAACUGGAAUGAGAAACCAUUAAUUUGCAAUGGGAAAUACUCCUUUGCGAUGACAGAACAUGCAUGUCUGCCAUCCCAGGCACCUCACUGCACAGAUCAAGAUGCCCGUGACGUUCCGGGAGGGAGCCCGGUGGGGCGCCUGGCUGGCUCCGUCAGAAGAGCAUGGGACUGUCGAUGAUCUCAGGGUCGUGAGUUCAGACCCCAUGUUGGGCAUGGAGCCUACUUUAAAUAAAUAAAUAAAUAAAUAAAUAAAUAAAUAAAUAAAUAAAUAAAUAAGCGAGCACGCACAAGAUGACCAGAUAAACGUGGAAGCGAGCAGAAAGUUGGUAGAACGCAGUGAGGGUCAUAAUUACCACAAGCCAGGAGGUCUGCUGAUCACCUUCCAUAUGUAGAGAUCACAUUAUAUAAUAUUUAUUCAUUCAUUUAUUCGACCAAAUAUACGAAGUGUCCAGUAUAUGCCAGGUACUGUCCUAAGCACUGGAAAUAUAACUGUGGACUAUGGAAUAAAGAACAAAAACAAACAACAAACAAACAAAAAACAGGUAAGGGAGAACAGGGGCCCUGAGUGGAGGAGGGAAGAUUAUAUGCCUGCUGUUAGUACUCUCGCUUUCCAGAUGAGGAGCUACAGAGAAGUGAAUGGCCUGAGGUGUUUCCCUGUGCUUGGUUCUCACAGAUAUACUACGUACCAAACAUGUCUUGUUAUUCCCUCUUUUUAAAAAAAUGUUUGUUUCUUUGUUUAUUGAGAGAGAGAGAGGGCGAGGGCGCGCAUGAG